AAAUGAAAAGCAUUAUUAGGUAGAAAAAAAUGGCAAAAGUACUUUAGAGCUCUUCCCCCUCAACUCCUGGCCCCAUUUCAGGGCAGGAUAUAAUUUUAAGUCCUGACUCCUUUGGGAAAUGAUCAGACUGCCCUAAAGUAGAAUGUGAUUUUGACCUUUAACUAGGAAGAUUUAAAUAUAAACCAUCUUUUGAUGCCACAUGCCCUCUGUAACCUAUUAUUUCUUGCCUCUUUCAGAGCCAAACUUCUUAAAAUUAUCUACAUUCAGAACCUAUUUCUUUCCCCACUCCCAUUCAUUCACUCCUCAAAUCUCUGAAACCUGGCUUCUUAGUACGCCACUAAUUCUUAAGACUUUCCAUACAAGCAACCCAGAACUCCAACAAAUGCCAAACAGGUCCCAAGAACGAAAAAGAUGAGAGAGUAGAGUGUACCUGGAAAACAAGAAAAUCCAGCAACCUGUCUCAGGCAAAUACAUUGCCAGAUGAAAAGCAACAAAAAUUGUUCAUAAAUUAUCUCAGGAGCAAGAAACAGAGAAGCAAACAAUUUUAGAAAGACACACAAAUGUGAAUGCUGAAAACAGAUGUCACAGAACUGCAACUCAAAAGAGGCAUAAUGCCCAACAUUAAAAAAAAAAGUAAACAGAGUUGAAAUGGAGAGUCUUGCAUUGAGAUUGUCAAAUGCAAAAUAAAUAAAUGUAAAGUUCAUCACCAAAAGUAACACUAAUUUUCAUUACAUUCUCAAUUGCUGAGACAGAGUGAAAAAAAAAAUAGUUGCACCAUACUAUUGUUAGGAAGGUAUUUCAUUGAAACAGCAUGAGACUGGUAAAGGUCAUGUACACUAUAACUUAUGUGAGAUGCUACUUACGUGCAGUACAGCAAUUGUAACGGAAGUGUUCUACUGUUAUUUGCAAUAGUACAGUUUUAUACAUUACCACUUCGGCAAUUGCUUUAUUUCAGCAUAUUUAAAAACUUAAAAUAGGUUUUUCUGUCUUGUAUAUAAAAUACUAUGAAACAGUCACAAGGAAAUGGCUCUACAUAUGCUGACGCUGAGCCAGGAGAAUAAAUGCUGUCCAGUUCGAGGAGGACAACUGCUAAGAAACUAUAAAAGAUUCCACUUAAUACUACAUUAAUGACUAAAAGUCUAGUGGGGGAGGGUAAGGUAGCAGGAGAGUUGAGUUUUCUCUUGGCUCAAAGUCUUAAAACAUUUAUAACUUAGGUUAUGUCAAUUAUUAUGGUUACUGAACUUUAUCUUCCGGUGGUGAAGUAGCUCAAACAAGUCCCCACGCUAUUCAAUCUGAAAAGCACCUAUGUGCUAAAUUCAUCAAAUGAGGAGUUAGGUGUGAAGAGGGUGGCUCUGAUGAACAUUUCCUAAAACGUUUUAAGAUAGAACUCACUGAGGAUUAACCUUUACGGCAAAUCCAAAUGCACACAGCACCCUCAAAGAUUCUAUAUCAAAUUAAGAAUUAUGAAUAUGUACCUACUUACAUAAUUGCUUACAAUUGCACAUCUCUGCAAUUCCCUUACAUGGCUAUAUUCAAGAACAUUUAUAUUCAAUUAAAUUUAUCUUCAAACACAGAUGGUCCCAAUUUAUGAUGGUUCGUUCGACUUACGGUUUUUCAACUUUACGAUGGUGUGAAAGCGAUAUGCAUUCAGUAGAAACCAUACUUCAAAUUAUGAAUUUUGAUCUUUUCCAAGGCUAGCAAUAUGCAGUCCAAUACUCUUUUGUGAUGCUGGGCACACACAGCAAGCUGCAGCUCCCAGUCAGCCACGCGAUCAUUAGGGUAAACAAUUCACACAACCGUUCUGUAGCCAUACCACCAUUCUGUUCUUCACUUUUAGUCCAGUAUUCAUUAAAUUACAUGAUAUUCAAUGCUUUAUUACAAAAUUGGCUUUGUUAGAUGAUUUUGUCCAACUGUAGGCUAACGUCAGUGUUCUGAGCACAUUUAAGGUAGGCGAGGCUAAGCUACGAUGUUUGGUACAUUAAGUGUAUUAAAUUCAUUUUCAACUUAAAAUAUUUUCAAUACACAAUGGGUUUAUUGGGACAUAACCCAACCCUAAGUUGAGGAAGAUCUGUACUUACUCUUGCAAAGAAAUGUUUUCUAGUGCCACCUUCAUUAUCCAAACCUAUUAAAAAUUGAGAAAUAAAAAUCAUAGGAUAAAUAGGGCUCAUUUUUCUGGUUAAUCAUUAAAUAUGGACAUUUGGAUUUCAAAUCUUGACCUUGGGAUAUUUACUGCAUUACCUUUAGCGGCAUAUUAAAUCUAGCAGCUAAAACUGUGUGUUUGUUACAAACACAACAGUGGGUUGACUAAACUAGAAAAUGUUUUAAUUUUUCCAGAAUAUUGUUAACUCAAAAUGUUUAAAAUAUGAAAUAUUAAAAGUUUCCAGAAUUAAAGAUCUUCCCUAGGGAAACUCCAACUGUUGAACCCUGAAUGGCAUGUUCAUCUAUGUACACUUACAGAAACGUACAUUAGAAAACAUUUAACUCAAUCUAAGGUGAGGUCUGGAAAGAUCUUUUGGUAAAAUGCUUUUCUCUUUUUCCCCCUUAAAUUUGCUUGUCUCAACUCUGUGAUCAGGUUAGAAUAAUCCCUAAUGUAACUGUUAGGUCUAUAUUGCAUUUGGGUUGCUGGGAUUUCAUUUCUGAGACAGGUAAGAAAAUUGUUUCUACUUUGGAAAACAGAUACAGAAAGGCAGACAACGUGACAGACAGCUGUUCUCUCAUAGCUUGGAAUAUAAAAGCAUUACCUUAGAACUUUGUAAGGCAUGAAACAUUUUUCAUAAUUUAGAACAUCAUUUUCUUCUAGAGAAUUAGCUACAGCGAUUCUCAAUGAAGACAGGGCCUGAUUUUCAUAAUCAACUGUGGGCUUUUUAAGCUGUACAGGUGCACAAGCAAAAUCUUACUGUUACGUAAUUUUUUUUACUUUAGCCACUCCAGGCACUACCAUAACCUCUUAUUAUUUUGCAUUCCUUAUGUGGUAUGGGUUGAAAAAAGAUUGUUGCCCUAUAUCUUCACUAUAUCAAAGGAAGAAAUGGAACUGUAUUUUGAUAAGAACUUAGUCAUACAAGUUUGAUUUAACAAACUGUUGAAAGAGUACAUCUGAGGUAAUCCCUGUCCUCGUGGCCCUAACUGCUCUGGGACUACUUUUUAAAAACUUAAAAAAUCCAAAACAAAUUUACAUGUCUCAAAGUCCUUUGCUAAAUGCUUUACAUAGAUUAUUUUGUUUAAUCCUCACCAACACUGCUAUGAAGCUAUAUUGUCACUGAAGCUUAGAAUGUUACUAAUUUCUGUGAUACUGAGCAAGCCAUUCAAGAUAAAUUUCAAACUGAAGCAACAGGAAUCCAGAGGCCACUGGUAUUAUUCUCCA
rnacentral:lncRNA from 1 species